AUUAGGCAUGCAAGUCNNAGCGAGNAAGUCGUAGUUUGAAGCUUCGGCCGAUGACUACGAUGGACAGCGGCGAAAGGGAGAGUAACGCGUGGAUUAUCUACCCUCAGGACCGGGAUAGCUGCGGGAAACUGCAGGUAAUACCGGAUAACAUCUCCGGAUCAAAUGGUGUGAUUCCGCCUGAGGAUGAGUCCGCGUCCUAUUAGCUUGUUGGUGGGGUAACGGCCUACCAAGGCAAUGAUGGGUACCGGGUGUGAGAGCAUGGCCCGGCUCACUGGGACUGAGACACUGCCCAGACACCUACGGGUGGCUGCAGUCGAGAAUCUUCCGCAAUGGACGAAAGUCUGACGGAGCGACGCCGCGUGUGGGAUGAAGGCCUUCGGGUUGUAAACCGCUGUCAGUAGGGAGGAAAUCCAUGGGGGUUAUCCCCCAUGGUUGACCUAUCUUCAGAGGAAGGACGGGCUAAGUUCGUGCCAGCAGCCGCGGUAAGACGAACCGUCCAAACGUUAUUCGGAAUCACUGGGCUUAAAGGGUGCGUAGGCGGCCUGGCAAGUUGGGUGUGAAAUCCCUCGGCUCAACCGAGGAAUUGCGCUCAAAACUGCUUGGCUAGAGGGAGAUAGAGGUGAGCGGAACUUAUGGUGGAGCGGUGAAAUGCGUUGAUAUCAUAAGGAACACCUGUGGCGAAAGCGGCUCACUGGAUCUCUUCUGACGCUGAGGCACGAAAGCUAGGGUAGCGAACAGGAUUAGAUACC
rnacentral:rRNA from 1 species